rnacentral:rRNA from 1 species
GACGAACGCUGGCGGCGUGCUUAACACAUGCAAGUCGAACGGGAAGGCCCUGCUUUUGUGGGGUGCUCGAGUGGCGAACGGGUGAGUAACACGUGAGUAACCUGCCCUUGACUUUGGGAUAACUUCAGGAAACUGGGGCUAAUACCGGAUAGGAGCUCCUGCUGCAUGGUGGGGGUUGGAACGUUUCGGCGGUUGGGGAUGGACUCGCGGCUUAUCAGCUUGUUGGUGGGGUAGUGGCUUACCAAGGCUUUGACGGGUAGGCGGCCUGAGAGGGUGACCGGCCACAUGGGGACUGAGAUACGGCCCAGACUCCUACGGGAGGCAGCAGUGGGGAAUAUUGCACAAUGGGCGGAAGCCUGAUGCAGCAACGCCGCGUGCGGGAUGACGGCCUUCGGGUUGUAAACCGCUUUCGCCUGUGACGAAGCGUGAGUGACGGUAAUGGGUAAAGAAGCACCGGCUAACUACGUG